AAUCAGUGGAGAGCUGCUUGGUGGGAUUUGGGAGAUGGAUGGCUGCAAUGGAGCUGUGUUACUUCCCUGAGGGGCUGCUGGGUGUUGCUGAGCCCACUGUGGGAAGGGAAAGGUGAAUCUGGAAUCGUUCUGUUAACUCAAGCUGGAAUUUCCUUGCCUCAGGUGCUUACUGUGGAGGAGGGGAAGGCACAGAAGAAUGCAAUGCCAUUUGAAAUUAAAAAGUUGCAUUACAGUAUAGGAAGACCCUCUGGUGUCUCCAGAGAUAAACCUGAGCCUUGAUGCAAGGUCUUGCUCUUGGGUCAAGCUAGAAGUGAGGACUAUUGCACCUGGGUCACUGUUCAGAGCAGAAACUCCAAGUCAAAAGGUCCCGCUGGCAACAAGCAUCUGUGUGUCUUGAUCCCAUCAGCUGACAGGGCUGUGGGCUG
rnacentral:lncRNA from 1 species